AUGGAGCACCGGACAGACAGCGCCGGCGUCCCCAUCAACUCGCUGCUCCGCGCCGCCGCGCGGCUCGAUCCGGAGAAGAUCGACUUCCGCCUCCCCUCCGGCUUAAUCGAUCGUUCCCUCGCUGUCGAUCUGCCUCGCUUCCACCGCGCCACCUCCAUCGCGCUGGACCUUUCCCCCAUCACCCUGGCCGUGCCGGCGGGCGCCGAUUUCGCCGCACUCGAGACGCUGUCCCUGGCGCGUUGCAGUACCGAUCUCGACGCCUUGCUCUCCUGCUGCCCGCGCUUGCGCACGCUCCGCCUCAGCACGGCCCGCGACAUUACGGUCAACUCGCCGUCGCUCCAGGAGCUUGUCGUCUGCUGUGAGACCAGUAUGACACGACAUGUCGACAUCGUUGCUCCCGCGCUUAAGCAGUUGGUCAUCUCAUUGACGGCGGUGGACCACAGCAUCUCCGUCUUGGCACCAAUGGUGGAGAAGGUCUCGUGGCACUGCCAAUACUUGGGGCCGCGUAUUGUGUUUGGCGUUUGGAGCCUCAACAAGGUGCAGCUACAGUCGGCGGAGAUACAAGGAGAGCCAUCGUCGCUGUGUAUUUAUGCCUGCGCUCAGGCGAGCCACUUUAAGCAGGAGAUCGAGAAACAUAUGGUUGCUGCUUUCUCUUGUUUAGAGCUUCAUCUCAUAACGACGGGGCAUGCUUUUGGAGCUUUAGUGUUUCAUCUUCUUGGAAUGAAUCGAAUUCGUACUGCUACGCGGAGGCUUAAGGUCGUCCUACAGAGAUCAGCGUUGAAAGAAGUAUGCCCGCCAUACUGUCUUUGUGAGUCGAACUGGAGGUCCCAGACUAUAUCCUUGGAUGCUCUCGAAGAAGUGGAGUUCAAUGGAUUCAGCGGAGCGGAUCAUGAGUUUGAUUUAUUGGAAUUGAUACUUGGAUGUGCACCGACACUAAAAAGAAUGAUUGUCAAGCUGUCCGAUGAGACCUCGGCAAGUAAUGAUGGAUGCGCAAAGAUAGUCAACAUCUUAAAGGCAUGUUCUUCCGUGGAAUGUGAUGUUUAUCACAGCUCGGGGUUAAUGCACGGCAGCCAAAAUUGCCCGUCGACAUGA
rnacentral:rRNA from 1 species